AUCCAUUAGCUUAACUGAUGGGCCGCCGGAAAAACUGCAAAGCUAGGGAGUGGGAGAGGUAGACGGUACUCGGUAGGAAGGGGUAAAAUCCUUUGAUCUAUUGAUGACCACCUGUGGCGAAGGCGGUCUACCAGAACACGUUCGACGGUGAGGGAUGAAAGCUGGGGGAGCAAACCGGAUUAGAUACCCGGGUAGUCCCAGCUGUAAACGAUGCAGACUCGGUGAUGCCCUGGCUUGUGGCCAGUGCAGUGCCGCAGGGAAGCCGUUAAGUUUGCCGCCUGGGAAGUACGUACGCAAGUAUGAAACUUAAAGGAAUUGGCGGGGGAGCACCACAAGGGGUGAAGCCUGCGGUUCAAUUGGAGUCAACGCCAGAAAUCUUACCCGAAGAGACAGCAGAAUGAAGGUCAAGCUGGAGACUUUACCAGACAAGCUGAGAAGUGGUGCAUGGCCGUCGCCAGCUCGUGCCGUGAGAUGUCCUGUUAAGUCAGGUAACGAGCGAGAUCCCUGCCUCUAGUUGCCACCAUUACUCUCAGGAGUAGUGGGGCGAAUUAGCGGGACCGCCACAGUUAAUGUGGAGGAAGGAAGGGGCCACGGCAGGUCAGUAUGCCCUGAAACUUUGGGGCCACACGCGGGCUGCAAUGAUAGUGACAGUGAGUUCCUAAACCGAAAGGUGGAGGCAAUCUUCAAACGCUAUCACAGUUAUGAUUGAGGGCUGCAACUCGCCCUCAUGAAUAUGGAAUCCCUAGUAACUGCGUGUCAUUACCGCGCGGUGAAUACG
rnacentral:rRNA from 1 species